AAUGGGUCAGCGACUUAUAUUCUGUAGCAAGGUUAACCGAAUAGGGGAGCCGAAGGGAAACCGAGUCUUAACUGGGCGUUAAGUUGCAGGGUAUAGACCCGAAACCCGGUGAUCUAGCCAUGGGCAGGUUGAAGGUUGGGUAACACUAACUGGAGGACCGAACCGACUAAUGUUGAAAAAUUAGCGGAUGACUUGUGGCUGGGGGUGAAAGGCCAAUCAAACCGGGAGAUAGCUGGUUCUCCCCGAAAGCUAUUUAGGUAGCGCCUCGUGAAUUCAUCUCCGGGGGUAGAGCACUGUUUCGGCAAGGGGGUCAUCCCGACUUACCAACCCGAUGCAAACUGCGAAUACCGGAGAAUGUUAUCACGGGAGACACACGGCGGGUGCUAACGUCCGUCGUGAAGAGGGAAACAACCCAGACCGCCAGCUAAGGUCCCAAAGUCAUGGUUAAGUGGGAAACGAUGUGGGAAGGCCCAGACAGCCAGGAUGUUGGCUUAGAAGCAGCCAUCAUUUAAAGAAAGCGUAAUAGCUCACUGGUCGAGUCGGCCUGCGCGGAAGAUGUAACGGGGCUAAACCAUGCACCGAAGCUGCGGCAGCGACACUAUGUGUUGUUGGGUAGGGGAGCGUUCUGUAAGCCUGUGAAGGUGU
rnacentral:rRNA from 1 species